rnacentral:rRNA from 1 species
GCUCAACCGAGGAAGUGCUUCGAAAACUGGUAAACUUGAGUGCAGAAGAGGAAAGUGGAACUCCAUGUGUAGCGGUGGAAUGCGUAGAUAUAUGGAAGAACACCAGUGGCGAAGGCGGCUUUCUGGUCUGUAACUGACGCUGAGAUUCGAAAGCAUGGGUAGCAAACAGGAUUAGAUACCCUGGUAGUCCAUGCCGUAAACGAUGAGUGCUAAGUGUUGGAGGGUUUCCGCCCUUCAGUGCUGCAGCUAACGCAUUAAGCACUCCGCCUGGGGAGUACGAUCGCAAGAUUGAAACUCAAAGGAAUUGACGGGGGCCCGCACAAGCGGUGGAGCAUGUGGUUUAAUUCGAAGCAACGCGAAGAACCUUACCAGGUCUUGACAUACCAUGAAAAGCUUAGAGAUAAGUCUUUCCCUUCGGGGACAUGGAUACAGGUGGUGCAUGGUUGUCGUCAGCUCGUGUCGUGAGAUGUUGGGUUAAGUCCCGCAACGAGCGCAACCCUUAUUAUCAGUUGCCAGCAUUCAGUUGGGCACUCUGGUGAGACUGCCGGUGAUAAACCGGAGGAAGGUGGGGACGACGUCAAAUCAUCAUGCCCCUUAUGACCUGGGCUACACGCGUGCUACAAUGGUCGGUACAACG